UUUAAUAUGGCAGAUUAGUGCGGUAGAUUUAAGAUUUACAUAUAUGAUUUACAUCAUUAUUAAAA
rnacentral:tRNA from 1 species